rnacentral:lncRNA from 1 species
UCAAAUUCAUUAAAUAAAUCACCUUAUCGAGAUUUUUCCAUUCGAAGAAUAACUUACGAAUAAUAGUACAUCGUCAACAAAAGCUCAUAAGAGCUGGUCCUCCCGAAUACGCCAACAGAAGCUCGAAAGCUGAACAGAAGCUUGUAAGAGCUUAACAAAAGCUCAUAAGAGCUGACCACCCAAUCACGCCAAACAAAAAGUAGAACACAAGAGUUUCUAACAAAUGCUGAACCCCGGUUUGCUUGAGUAAAAUGCCGAUAUCUCCCUCCAAUACUAUCUUCACUCCAAACCUCCGUCAUACACCAAAUCACGAAUGUACUCAAAUCCCACGUUCAAUUCAAACUGAAUAUCCAAUUCAAUAUUAUAAUUCAAAUAAUAAUUAAUUUCCAACAAUAGAAUAUAUGCACAAUACCAAUCAUUAGUUUAUACAAAUGUUAAAUUUUAACCAUACAUGUAAUACCCCCUACCCGUUUUCGUCGUCGAAAUAGGAUACGAGGCAUUACCAGAUUUUACUGAAUUAAUUUUUUUUCUGUUAUUACGAGUUUAAUUACUAUUCAUUUAUCUAAUCAUGUCAUGACGUCCCUUGGAUAGGCCUCCGAAGCCCAAAAUAUACAUCGGGACUAAACUGAUAUUAAAUCGAAGCCAUAAGAAAUUUUUUGCAAAAUCUCAAAGUUAUACUUACUCUAGCCAUACCAACAGCUAAGUUACAAACAUUCAUUUCUAUGUAAUAUUGGUAUUUAGUCUAUACAUGCCAUUCUUUCAAAAUAAGUCAUUUUCAAAUACCAAAAGAUAUGGGUUGAUAGUGUGAUAAAGCUCCGACUAAUCUCCAACCUUCGAGCUCCCGAGCACUACAAAAUAGGGAAAAAGAGAACAGGGUAAGCACAUUGUGCUUAGUAAGUUCAUGCAACAAGAAUUAUACUUACCAUAUUAUACACCUAUCAUUUAAUAACACAAGCACACAUCCAAUUCACAUAAACAUAUACCUAUCACAUACAAACUCAACUUUUGCAUUAGUUAAGUAAACAUCAUAUAAAUUCAUUACAAAGACAAAUGAUUGAUGAGCUCAUCAAUUCCAUAUUUUCCAUUCCCUUGUUAUUUUUCCAUAUUUAUCCUGUUAAAUUUCUCGGAAUUUCGAUGGAUUUUUAGAGGUACACUUUAGUGUACAAAUCCGGGUCCGUCAAUUCAUAUUCAUGUGCGCACAUUUCCAUUUCAGAGAGCACACUCCCGCGAAUCUCAUCCUUACAGUGGGAUUACCAGUCCAGGCUAAAUCCCCUGUAAUAUAAACUCAUAGAGUAUUGUCGGGAUUGCCAGUCCAGGCUAAAUCCCCUGCAACGACAAUUACUCUAAUGAGUUUGGAUCUGAAUUACCAGUCCAGGCUAAAUUCAGACCCUAAUUUGGAUUACCAGUCCGGGCUAAAUCCAUUUUCCACAUAUUUUUCGGGAGGGUUAUAUCAGGAUAGGAUCACCCGUCCAGGCUAGAUCCUUUUUACCGUCAAUUCCUUUUCAGAGAUCCAUCGAAUUUUCCUUUCAUUCAACUGAGAUUUAUUUUCUCUUUUCAUCAAGAAUAUCAAUACUUCAUCAAUUAUCAUACAAUAAACAUCUAAAUCAUAUUCAAAUCAAGAAAAAUAUAUUUCAAGCAUUUAAGAAUAUAAUUCAAGUUACACGAAAUUACUUCGAUACUUGUUCGUAAACAAAAAUCUACUAAUCCCGAACUUUUUCUUUUCCUCGAUCUAGCUUCAUAUUUAAAUUUUCCGGAUCUAAAUAAAUAAAUUUAAUCAUUAAUCUAAUACUUUUCAUGUUCAUAUGUAACAGUCUCUAUAAUUCCAUUAUUAUUUAUAUUGCAUUCAAAGCUGUCUAACUAAGUCAUAGUCACUAAAUUAUUUAUAUCUUGAGCUACGGAACUCCAAAUUAAGAUCUUCUAAUUUUCCCCGAAACUAGACUCACAUAUAUUCUUACCAUAAAAUUUUCAGAAUUUUUUGUUUAUCCAAUAAGUACAGUUUAUUCUUUAAAGUUUCCCCUGUUUCACUGUUUGAUAGUUCCGAUCCCUCUUCACUAAAAAUUAAUUAUCUCAUUAUACAGGAUUUGGAUGAUGUUUCUGUUUGUUUCUUCUGAAAAUAGACUCAUUAAGGAUUCUAACCAUAUAAAUUAUAACUCAUAAUAAUUUUUGUACAAAUUUUAAUGAUUUUACAAAGUAAGAACAGGGGAACCCGAAUUCAUUCUGACCUUGUCUCACAAAAUCUAUUAUAUAUCAUGAUUUACAAUUCCAUUGAUUAAACCGUUUCUUUUAUAAGAAACUAGACUCAAUAAGCUUUAAUUUCAUAUUUUAUUCAUCCUCUAAUUCGAUCUCUACAAUUUUUGGUGAUUUUUCAAAGUUAGACUACUGCUACUGUCCAAAACUGUUUUAGUGCAUAAUGUUAAUUACCAUUCUUUCCCUAAUCUUUCAAUAAAUGAUAAUUUCAUCCCUACUCAAUUAACCUCUCAAUUGAGCUAAUUUUUCUCAACCAACACUUUAUUCUAUCACUUUAAUCUACUUUAUAACCUUUGGAAAUCAGAAUUUUAGCACUAGACUUUAAUUCCAAAUUUUUUCACAAUUAAGUCCUACAAAUCAAUUUCUAUUGAAAUUACCUAAUAAAAUCAUCUCAUAAACAAAUUAAAGCUUCAAUUUCAUCCUAUUUCAUCAUAAAAUUCCAGCACAUAUUCAUAGAAACUUUCAAAUUCAUUCAUAAAAUAAAAAACUAAUGAAUUUAGUAAUAGGACCUAGUUGUAAAAGUCUUAGAAACACAAAAAUUACAAGAAAAAGGCAAUGAUUAACUCACUUGGUGCAAAAAUUAUGAAAAACCAGCUUGAAGAAAACCUUAGGAUGUUUUUUGGCUGAUGAAAAUGCAGAAAAAUAAAGAGAAUUCUAGAUAUUCCACUUUAGUCCUAACUUUUAAAGUAAAAUUUACAAUAUUCCAAUUUUACCCUUAAUUCUUUAAUUCUCCUGAUUUUUCUCAGCGUAUGCCGCCCAAAAUAUCUCCUUUUGGGGUUAUUUUCAAUUUAUAUCCCUCUUCAUUUAACAAUUGAGCUAUUUAACCAUUCUAGUAACUUUUACACUUUUUUCAAUUAGUCCUUUUCACUUAAUUGACUACCCAAACGUUAAAAUUUUCUAACGAAAUUUUAAUACCAUAUUAUUGACACUUCAUAAAUAUUUAUAAAAAUAUUUUUUACUCAAUUUUACGAGAUCGAGGUCUCGAUACCUUAUUUUUACCCAAUUUCUUCAAUACUUUCUUUUUCUAACUAACCACUAAAUCGGUAAAAUUUUUCUAUCGAUAUUUUCAUACUAUUUUCCUAUCAUACGAAUAUUCAUGAAAAAAUAUUAAAACAAAUUUCUCUUUAAAUCGGAUUUGUGGUUACGAAACCACUAUUCCGAUAACCUUGAAUUUGGGCCAUUACAAUACGAACUUACCUGGACUGAAUUAUAGUAAUUGCAGAAGUUUAGGGACUAUUCCACUAUUUUUCCUUUUCCACGAGUAUUUACAAGAUCUUAAUCUAAAAUAUAAAAUUACUCAUUUAUUAGCAUAUAUUUCGUCUCCAAUCUAUUUUACAAUUAAUACCCUUUUAUUUUUUGAAUUUACGCAAUUACUUCAAACUUUUACAAUUUUUGCAAAUUAAUCCCUUAAUUAGUUAAUCUAUCAAAUUAACUAGUUUUCUCAAAUCAUUAAUCUAUCCAAAUAUUCUAGCCCCUCAUACAGCUCCUAAUAAACCUAAAAUUCACUAUCAAACCCAAAUAUUUUGACAUUUUCACAAUUUAAUCCUAAAACCAAUAUUUAACAAAAAUCACUUUACAAAAUCAUCACACAACACAAUCAAAGCUCCAAAUCCAUGUUAUUCAUAAAAAAAAACAUCUAAUAUUUAUCAAUGGCAACUUCCAAAAUUUUUAACAGAAUCAGAAACGAAGGUACGAGUUAGCUAGACCUAGUUGCAACGAUCUCAAAAAUAUAAAAAUAACAAGAAACGGGUAAAAAUUGAACUCACAUGGAAGCUCCUAUGCUUAACCAAUUCUCCAAUCUAUUUCUAUGGUGUUUCGGCA